CAAUAGCGUAUAUUAAAGUUGUUGCGGUUAAAAAGCUCGUAGUUGGAUUUCUGCUGAGAACGACCGGUCCGCCCUUUGGGUGUGUAUCUGGCUCUUUCUUGGCAUCUUCUUGGUGAACGUUGCUGCACUUGACUGUGUGGAGCGCUACCCAGGACUUUUACUUUGAGGAAAUUAGAGUGUUUCAAGCAGGCAUACGCCUUGAAUACAUUAGCAUGGAAUAAUAAGAUAGGACCUCGGUUCUAUUUUGUUGGUUUCUAGAGCUGAGGUAAUGAUUAAUAGGGAUAGUUGGGGGCAUUCGUAUUUAACUGUCAGAGGUGAAAUUCUUGGAUUUGUUAAAGACGUACUACUGCGAAAGCAUUUGCCAAGGAUGUUUUCAUUGA
rnacentral:rRNA from 1 species